AUUGAACGCUGGCGGCAUGCUUUACACAUGCAAGUCGAACGGUAGAGGGGGCAACCCCUUGAGAGUGGCGAACGGGUGAGUAAUGCAUCGGAACGUGCCCAGUCGUGGGGGAUAACGCAGCGAAAGCUGUGCUAAUACCGCAUACGAUCUCUGGAUGAAAGCGGGGGACCGAAAGGCCUCGCGCGAUUGGAGCGGCCGAUGUCAGAUUAGGUAGUUGGUGGGGUAAAGGCUCACCAAGCCAACGAUCUGUAGCUGGUCUGAGAGGACGACCAGCCACACUGGGACUGAGACACGGCCCAGACUCCUACGGGAGGCAGCAGUGGGGAAUUUUGGACAAUGGGCGCAAGCCUGAUCCAGCAAUGCCGCGUGCAGGAAGAAGGCCUUCGGGUUGUAGACUGCUUUUGUACGGAACGAAAAGGUCUGGGUUAAUACCCUGGGCACAUGACGGUACCGUAAGAAUAAGCACCGGCUAACUACGUGCCAGCAGCCGCAGUAA
rnacentral:rRNA from 1 species